CAACAAAUGUUUGGAAAUGACACAAAGUUGAAAUUAUUUUAAAACCCUAAAAGAUUCAGGGCUUUUGACAAAACAUUUGGGCCAAUAGCCACCCCCCCAGCAUACAUUUGCUACCUUACAUGCAUCUUUGUUUAUGAAGCAGCACAACUGCACAGUGAACAAGAAACAUGAUGUCACGUUAGAGUAGAAAAGCACUUAUUUGGCACUCUCCUUAAGCAGAGGGAGUUAGUGUGUGAGCUACAGUUUGCAUCAUGUUAUCCAGAUGUGUGUGUGUGUGUGUGUGUGUGUGUGUGUGUGUGUGUGUGUGUGUGUGUGUGUGUGUGUGUGUGUGUGUGUGUGUGUGUGUGUGUGUUGACCCCUGCAGCUGCUAACACAUAUUUGACACACAGAUUACAGGUGGAGACAGUGAUUAUUGUCCUUAGUUGUACUCUGUGUUUUUCCUCUUUCUUCACUUUGUUUUCCCAGUGUUUCUCUCUAUGUCUCGGAGUAAUGAUGAUGUACAAAGUGUAACCGAGUCUGUGUUUUAUCGCUCUCAUCCUCUGUGUCCGUCUCGAAAAAUGGAUAUUUAUCCUGUCACGCUCUACUUGGCACUUUGACAUAUCGAUGUUUCAGCCCUAAAAUCAACACCAUGGAUUUUCUGCGUGUAUGUGUCAUGGCACAUUAACCGUCCCUUUACAUUCUCACCACGUAUGAUUUACCAUUCCAGAUGAUGUAUGGAGCCGAUGACACAUCUUUGCAAAUAACCUUGACUCUUUUCAGGGCUUGUGCUUUUGAUUGCUUUCUGCUUUCCUCUAUGUUCAUGUCUUUAAAGAGCUAGAGAGCAUAUCGGGCAUCGUGUACCAGCCCAUCCAUCCUCUUGCAAAUACACAGUUGAUUCCUAAGCAAUAAAGGAGCCUUGCUAAAUUCAUCCAGUAAAAGAAAGGAAACAGACAUGGUAAGUCAAAAUCAUGAGAUACUAAGUCAAAAUAAGGACAGUUCACCCCAAAAUCAAAAAUACAUAUUUUCCUCUUACCUAUAGUGUUAUUUAUCAGUCUACAUUGGUUGGGUGUGAGUUGCCCAGAGUUGGAGAUAUCGGCCGUAGAGAUGUCUGCCUUCUCUCAAAUAUAAUGGAACUAGAUGACACUUGGCUUGUGGUCCUCAAAGCUCCAAAAAUAUACAUAUAUUAAAAAAAAAACUCAACAGCAAUGUCUCUUUCUAGAAAUCAUGACCCGGUUGCACAAGAUAAUCAACAGACCUGGUUGUGAGCAGUUUCAUGUUUUCUUUCUUCCGAACUCAACCGUCAGCGGUAUCAUGGCGUACUCAUGGACAAGAGGCUCGAGAUGUGAACAGGAGAUUCAUUUAUCGCUAGUGUUGCAUUGCCAGACCUGUCUCCACAGCGCUGCGGAGGAAGGUCUGGCAACAUGAGCAUACACUCCUGGGUAGGAGAA